GAUAGGUCGCUGUCGCUACGGUGAUUGGACACUGACACUGAGUCAACUAGCCUUGUGCGCGCGGUUCUUCGCGCGCAGAACCGGAGGACGGUCCGAGCCACGAGGGGGGAGGCUCGGACCGUCCGUA
rnacentral:ncRNA from 1 species